AUUGUCCUACGGGGGGCAGCAGUGGGGAAUAUUGGGCAAUGGGCGCAAGCCUGACCCAGCAACGCCGCGUGAAGGAAGAAGGCUUUCGGGUUGUAAACUUCUUUUCUCAGGGACGAAGCAAGUGACGGUACCUGAGGAAUAAGCCACGGCUAACUACGUGCCAGCAGCCGCGGUAAUACGUAGGUGGCAAGCGUUAUCCGGAUUUACUGGGUGUAAAGGGCGUGUAGGCGGGGACGCAAGUCAGAUGUGAAAACCACGGG
rnacentral:rRNA from 1 species